GCUUCGGUUGCCGUAGUAGGAACUAAGCUUCCUAGCAACAGGUAGUUUCCUUGUCUGAACAUUGCUGAACACAGCUGUUGCUCGUUGAAUCUAAGACGUAACAUUGACUGGCAGUUGGAAGUGUUCAAGACACCGGUACUGUCAAUCUGAAUAUUCAUCUAAACAUUUUGGACCACUAUGAAAAAUAAUGUCAUCAACUUCCCGUGGGAAGCCUGAAACUCCGAAAAGGAAAGUCAAGUCUGCGCCUUCAGUACCCACAGCGACUGCAAAUAAACCUCAGCCUAGGCCCAGUGACAGAUUGAACCCAAAGACAGUCGAUCCAUUCAGUGGUCCACUGAGAGCUCAGUCCACAUUUGCAGCAGUGUAUUCUAAAGGAGGUAUACCCUGCAGGUUAGUUCACGGCUCAGUUAAACACAGGUUACAGUGGGAGUGUCCACCAGAGACUAUUCACUUUGACCCUCUGCUUAUCACACUUGCUGAGGGGCUAAGAGAAACAAAACACCCGUACACGUUUGUGUCAAGGGAAGGCUUUAAAGAAUUACUUCUUGUUGAUGGGGCUGCUGAGAAAGCCAUCCCUUUGCUGGCAAAAUUGGUGCCAGCACUAAAAGCGGCUCUGGUUCACACUGAUUCCGAUGUCUUUGAAAGGGGUUUAAAUGGCUUGGUUCAAUUAAGUGCUGCUGUUGGUCCGGCUCUGAAUGACCAUCUUAAACAUUUACUCACCAGUCUAUCAAAGAGACUAAUGGACAAAAAAUAUAAAGACCAAGUUAUGAGUGGAUUACAGAAACUGGAGCAGUAUGGUGGCAAGAGGGCGCUGUUGUCCGUGGCCUGAAUACUGGCAACAGUAAGCAAGACCACGGGUUUACCAAUGCUGGUAUACAGUCCAGUGCACAUACAAGUGCUCAAAAAUAACAAUGAAAACAAAAGGCGGAAGAAAAAGAGAAAAUAAAACACAAUAAUAAAACUACAAAAGUGCUGCUUACACAGUGCACCCGCUGCCACUAAGCCGGUCAGUACGAGCCUCCAACCUACGCUCAGUUGAUUCCUGUACACUGAGGUGGCCACAGUUCACCGUACUACACACCUUUCCUCGCCCAGUCUUGCUGUUAUCAAAUCCAAAGUUCCAACCUACAGUUCUAUUUUCUCAUGAGAACAUAUGACGAAUUAACCUUUGCAGUAUGGAAAAAAUAUGUCGACCUACUCUGGGAUCCUGGGAAAAUUCUAAAGUUGAAGAAUGCUAGCUAAAAAGAAGUCUAGUCUGAGUUUUCUGCAGUGGGCCUGAAGACCUGGAUUUUUUCUUUAAAUUGUACUCAUUAGCCAUGUAUGAAUGUCCAUGCUGUAUGUAAAAUAGUUUGGUUUUUUUUAGGUGUAGGGGACCAUAGACUUUUCUAAAGUAAUGUAAAUAACUUGAAAUAACUGUAUAGCUUCUACAGGUAUGGCCAUACGUUUUGCAUCACCGUAUAUAAUUAACACAUUUAGCUUCAUAAAAGUUGAAUGAAACCUGCUGAAUAAUGUUGCGUUAAUAAAUUGAAUUACAUACCUCUUUGUAGUUUUCCAUAUAUAUACUUAACGGAAAUCUGACCAAAAUGUGAUAUUUCGAAAUUUAACAUGAAAUACUGCAUGGCUUCCGGUAGACUAUUGCAAUAUUUUGUAGUUUCUUUGAUUACAUGAUGUUAAAUAAAUGAUCUAAAUUAUGUUCAUGUAUUUUUAUUUGUUUAUUUAUUUAUUUUUAAUUAUGUCUCAAUCCUAAAAUUAUAGGUGAUGCAAAACUUUUGGCUAUGGCUGUAUGUCAUUAUUGAUGUUAUACAAUUAAGUACAUUACCCAAAAGUUGAAAUAUAAAUAAUAUAAUCUCAAAUGUUGGCACAGUCUGAAAGUUUAUUGCAAUUUUUUUUUAUUAUAUUGACCUUUUCAAACAAAUAACAGUGUGUCUGCAAUUAGGAGUUUCAAAUCAGAUAACACAUUCUAUUCUUCUUUAAAUGGAAGACUUUAAAGUUUUUAACAUCUUACUUUACAAUUGAAUAGCACACAUGAGAAACAACGGUCUGAUUUCAAAUUCCUUUAACCUGUUACACUCACAAUGCUAGACGGCAGACUUCUGUAUAAUUGAAAACACCAUUAAAAAUAAUAUUUCUGUAAUGGUAUUGUUGGUUCUCUGUAACAUUAUACCUGGCUAAUGUAUUUAAAACAGAAUUAUUUAUAAA